AGCAGAGAAAGGGCUUAUACCCAGUCUCUGACCUUGAACUGCCUUCUCUGUCAGCAUUCCCGGAACUUACGGCUGGGUGGGUUUCUGGGAAAGGCACUACAAGUUGAAAUGAGGGGCUAAAGAAUGGAUUCCUCACUUUUCCCAGUGGAACUAUUGUACACACGAAAGCAGAUGCCAUUGCUGACCCGAGCCUGUUCUUCUAGAAAGAGUGAUGUCAUGGACCGUGUGACUGAUGGACUUGCCAGCGGGAGGCGUCGUGUUGCAGACGUGUCUGGGAGAACGGUGAAGAGCCUUCAGACGCCGACCUCCACCCUCGGCAUUGGAGAAAGAGAUUUAUUUUGCUAAAGAAAAUCAAGGAAAGCAUUCUCUCUCCUGGCCAGACAGUGGACUAAUGGUCAGAAGAGGUGUAGUGGAUUCUAAAAGGAAUAACAUUCAUGAAAGUGCAUCUUACACUACAUAAGUUCUCUCGAAAGUUCUGCACAUGUGCAGCCAUUAAGAUUUCAUGGAGAUGGUAAUAUAUAAACUAGAUGUUAAAGAAUAG
rnacentral:lncRNA from 1 species